CGCGAAGAACCUUACCAAGGCUUGACAUGGCGAUGACCGAUUCAGAGAUGAGUCUUUUUCUUUUGAAACAUCGUCACAGGUGGUGCAUGGUUGUCGUCAGCUCGUGUCGUGAGAUGUUGGGUUAAGUCCCGCAACGAGCGCAACCCUUAUCCUUAGUUACCAGCAGUAAGAUGGGGACUCUAAGGAGACUGCCGGUGAUAAACCGGAGGAAGGUGGGGAUGACGUCAAAUCAUCAUGCCCUUUAUGUCUUGGGCUACACACGUGCUACAAUGGUCGGAAACAAAGUGCAGCAACCUCGCAAGAGCUAGCGAAUCACAAAAAGCCGAUCUCAGUUCGGAUUGUAGGCUGCAACUCGCCUACAUGAAGUCGGAGUUGCUAGUAAUCGCGAAUCAGCAUGUCGCGGUGAAUGCGUUCCCGGGUCUUGUACACACC
rnacentral:rRNA from 1 species